rnacentral:rRNA from 1 species
CGCAUAGAAGUAAAGAGAUAGAGCUGCAAUGUCGCUUCCAAGAUUCAACUUGACAGACAUUUGGUUCCGUUACUUUGAUCAUUUGACAGGGUAGUGGACCACAGCUUGUGUCUGUUGAGUGCACUUAUUGGAAGUGAGCACUGCGACCGGUAUCUGUGCCGGUAGAAGCCUGGAAUAUCGUGGGCAGACCAAUUCGGUAUCUGUUUCCCAUUUUUCAGCGCCUACCUGGUUGCGGGGACCGUGUAACUAUUGUAUCGGCUUGUCUCAGAGAGUGUUGUAAGGCGUCAACUGAAACUCUGUAGCCUGCUUGCAGGCUAUGGUAACCCUUGGCGUUUAUAUGAUGCUUCUCUGAAUCGAUGCAAAGUGUCUGCAGUGUAUGUGUCAGCCACCUAUCUCACCCGUCUUGAAACACGGACCAAGGAGUCUAACAUAUACGCAAGUCAUUGGGCGACAAACCCAAAGGCGCAAUGAAAGUAAGCUUCCUUGUGAAGUUAGGCAGGAUCCUCGACUUGUCGGGGCGCACUGCUGUCCUGUCUUAUAUGCAUUGUCAUUUAGGCAGCGAAAGAGCGUAUCUGUUGGGACCCGAAAGAUGGUGAACUAUGCCUGUGUAGGAUGAAGCCAGAGGAAACUCUGGUGGAGSUCCGUAGCGGUUCUGACGUGCAAAUCG